GCGUCGGUGGUCUAAUGGCUAUGACUGUGGCCUUCCAAGCCGCCUAUCUGGGUUCGAACCUGGGAAAAUGCGGUGAACUUCUCUUCGGUCGUUCACCUAGGAUUUUGCUUCGCAAAAUCAAAGAAGCUGGCGAAAGUCCCAGCCGACGCA
rnacentral:tRNA from 1 species